rnacentral:lncRNA from 1 species
CAGCACACCAGCAUGGCACAUGUAUACAUAUGUAACUAACCUGCACAUUGUGCACAUGUACCCUAAAAUUUAAAGUAUAAUAAUAAUAAAAAAAAAUAAAAAUUGGAUUGUUUUCUUUUUACAGAAAAAAAAAAGAAUGCCAAAACUGCUAGUCCCCAAUCUAGUUAUCAGAUUCAACUUUGUUUUAAAAAUAAAUUUUAUUGUGUAUAUUUAAGGUAUACAACACGAUGUUAUAACAUAUCUAUAUCUGUAGUAUAUAUAUGUUCCACUGUAGUGGAACAAAUUAACAUAUUCAUCAUCUCACAUAGUUAUCCAUUUUUCCUCAUGUAGCGAAAGCAGCUACAAUCUACUCAUUCAACAAAAAUCCUGAUACAAUAUACUGUUAUUAACUAUAGUGCCCAUGUUGUACAUUAGGUGUUUUGACUUGUUCAUUCUGCAUGUUUGCUAUUUUGUAUCUUUUGACUAAUAUCUCUAUUUCCUCUCUGUGACCCCGACCCUGGUAAUCGUUUUAUUCUCUAUAUGUUUGACCCCCCGUUUUUCCAAAUUUCACAUGUAAGUGAGGUCAUGUGGUAUUUGUCUCUCUGUGAUGGGCUUAUUUAAUUCAGUAUCAUCUCCUCCGGGUCCAUUUAUGUUACGUCAAAUGGCAGGAUAUCCUCCUUUUUUAAGCCUGAACAAUAUUCGCAUUCUACAUAUACUCCACAGUUUGCUUAUUUAUCCAUCCAUCCAUUGAUUCAGUUUUAUCUUCACCCUCUCUCUCUUCAAACUCCUCCAAGAUUGGCAAAGUCUGGAACAUUUCCUGAAUUCCUAAGACUAAUUAUCCUCAUCUCUUGGGAGCUCAGGCAACCUCCAGGGUCAGUUUUACACAUAAUAAUAGUUGUGCCUUGUCUUUUGGGAGGUGGAAGGUUGGGGUUGGCAGAAGUAAGCAAAGAGCUAAUGCUGGGCACCCUGAGGGCCUUUACUUAGGUUACUUAAAAGACCACACCGUGGAUUCUGGGUGCCCAGAAGUGAAGUAUGGAGAGAUGCAAGGCCACGGGUGUGCUCUCCAAGAGUCAUAUGGGUGUUUAAGAUAUACCUACAUACCUAUGUACACACUCACACAUACACAUUCUCAGAAUGUGUCUGGGACCAGCUGCCUAUCCUCUCACUGCCUCUCUUUCAGGUAAGUGUUCUUGAUGAGGGUGGGCUUUAUGUUCAUAUUCUGGUGAGCCUCAGCUGUCCAGCACCCCAUUGCCCACUUCAUUCUUCAUCAUCAUUGCACCAUUCUCAUCAAUAAGGUUCCCACUCCCUCAUAUCCUGUAUCUGCUGAAAAUGUGUAUUCUUUAAUUUUUGGAUGCAUAAUUCUACUAUAAGCUUUUAAGUCAUCUUAAUUAAAAAAAAAUCUGUUGUGUUGAAUACAUUUCAUCUUUUGGUUUCCGAAAGGAGUAUAUUGCAUUUUGUCAGCUCCUCUUUGUAUGCCAUGCAUUUUUGCUGUACAUACUUCAAGUUCUGUUCUUUAAGUUGAUACAUGUUUAUUUCUUAAUAUAUUAAAAUUUAUUUAAUAUUUUAUUAAUAAUGAAUCAUUUUGUCCUUAAUAAAAACAUUUAGCAUAA